ACUCGCUCUAGCAUACUGCGGAAGCUAAUUUACAAACUCUACAAGGAAAAGCGAAAACCUUUCUUUGUGAUUUUAUUUGCCAGUUGAAUAUUUUUAAGUCGUUUGUGAAAUUACGUAUAUUUGGCGAUAAUUGUGUGUAUUUUGAUUCUUGAAGUUGUUAAAAGUUCAGGACAAGUGUUCGAAUUUAAAUUAAACAAACCACAAAGUGUAUUGGUGAAAAAUAAGUCAUACGCAGUCAACGUGUUGGGCAGCAGACCAGUCUGAUUAUCGACUGUCUGUAUUGGACAGGAAUCGAGUGGUUCAUUUUAGCUGCGAAAUUGAAUUUAUAAUGGUGGAAAUAGCGCAAGACUUCACAAAGGGUAAAACUCCCGCAACGCUGUAUGAACAAUGUCUCGGCUGCUACGUCGCCAAACUCAAUUACAAUGUCCAAACUCUGGAUAGUGUGCAGCAGUUGCGAUAUUUGCCACCAGGCGUACUAAGCGAUGUUUAUGUCAUGAUGUCCAAGCAUGAUGAACUUAAGGACAUGCUGUUGGAGCAGCUCAUCGAUUUAAGCACCUUUGAACGGCUACUUCGGUUUGAUCCUGUGCGUCUAAAGCUUUUUCGUUGUCUAACCGCAUUGAUGAGUAGCGGUAAACUUCUAUCCACGCAACUUCAACAAAACUUUACCAUGCGCUAUCGCCAGAAACAAGACUCAACAAAAUUCAACAAGACUGCUACAACUGAGCCAAGCUCAAGCUCAAGCUCUAAACCGCUAAAGAAAUCGCCUAAUUUUCCCACUACCCCAACCAUGGUUGAUUUAUUUGCCAAUGCAAGCAUAAGCACAACUGUCAAAGAUAAUGACGUUUAUGAGAACUCAAGCGUGAAAACUGAGUCUUCAAUUGUUAAUGAUAUUGACCCAGAUGUAAUUUUUGAAGAAUUACCUUUGGAUGAUUUUCACUUUGGUUUGGAUGUUAUCGACUUUGGAUUACGGUUGGGCUCGUUUCUGUCCGAAGCCGGUUGGCUGGCGGACAGCGUAGAGAUUUUACAGUGUGUAGCGUCAAAAUUGCGUAACAUGCCAGCGGAUAAGCAACAUAUGCUCGUGCGGCUUGAUUGCCUGCAAAGAUUACUACAUUCCCAAUCUACUUUAUAUAGUUUUAAAUCUGCCGAACGCACAUUUGAUGAAACGGUGGCACUGCUCAAAGAGUUGUCUCAGGACAAUGUACCACGUGCACUAUUAGCAAAAAUUUACACUCAGUUCUCGGCCAUGUACUUUGCGCGCAGUGAAUAUGACAAUAGCCACAUGUGGAGCUCCAUUGCCAUGCGGCAUUUAGAAGAAUCAACGCCAGAAAGGAUUGCAGUAGAUGUUUUGCGGCAAGCAGCCAAGGCAUGCGUGGUGAAACGAGAUUUUCAACGAGCGAAUCUUCUAAUAAGUCAAGCAACGUACAGGGCGAGAAAAACCUUUGGUGCACAACAUCAAAAAUAUGCCGACAGCUUACUCGAUUACGGAUUUUUCCUUCUGAAUGUCGACUCAGUGUAUCAAAGCGUUAUUGUUUACAAAGACGCGCUCGAAAUUAGACGUAACAUAUUCGGCAAUCGCAAUUUUCAUGUAGCAAUAGCACACGAGGAUCUCUCUUAUGCUUACUAUGUUCACGAAUACAGCACCGGUAAUUUCUCUUGCGCACGCAAACAUGUCGAAAAAGCCAUCGAAAUUAUGGAAUACUUAGUGCCGAGAAAUCACUUGGUGCUGGCAUCAGCAAAACGUGUGAAAGCGUUGCUACUUGAGGAAAUCGCGUUAGAUAAGCUAACUGAUGGAGGCGCUGAUGAAGAUGGACUUUUGCGCCAAUCUGAGGAGCUGCAUAAUUUUGCGCUGAAGUUAUCAUUGGAAAUGUUCGGCGAAGUGAACGUGCAAACAGCCAAGCACUACGGCAAUUUAGGCCGACUUUAUCAAACUAUGAAUCGAUUUGAGGAAGCGGAACGUAUGCAUCUAAAAGCAAUACAAAUUAAAACAGAUCUUUUGGGUGCCUAUGAUUAUGAAGUGGGUCUUUCGAUUGGUCACUUGGCUUCACUUUAUAAUUAUCAUAUGGGAAAAUAUCGCGAAGCAGAAUCAUUGUACAUGCGCAGCAUUGAGAUUAGUUUACGCCUAUUCGGAAAAUCGUAUUCAGGACUAGAAUAUGACUACUUAGGCUUGUGUCAUGUGUACGAAACGCGUCGCGAAUUUGAAAAGUAUUUAAAGUAUGCGAUUAUACUGGAAAAUUGGCAGAUGUUACGCGGCCAGAAUAUCGCUAUGAACAAAACCUAUGCUGAAGCUAGCGACGACUACUCAUUGGAAGAAGUGAAAUAUCAAUUCUUUAACAUGUGCACGCAAAAUUCAACGACAACCGCGACCACAGAUACGGGAACGAUCGUACAUAAUUGAUUGGACCCACGUACGCGUACUAUAUAUAGGCACGCCAAUGCGCUCAAGACUACGUAAAACAGGCGAAUAGUAUUUACUUCCAUAUGCAGCGGCUUGACACAAAGUCUUCAAUCGAUUGCUUGUUCAGUCUAUAUAUUGUAUAUGAGGUUGUGUACUUUAAAGUGAUACGCUUGAAUUGAAAACUUGAUUAUGCUACAUCGGAUGCACAUACGACUCCACACACUGCUUACUUUAAUUAUUAUAAGCACAUUUGUUUUGUUUUUUUUUUACAUAUUUUCAAGAGAAAAGAACGAAACGCCCUAUGUUUAAUUUUUGACCAUCAUUAUUAUUUUAGUUUGUUGUAAAUCAUAUGAAUGAGUAAUGUGUAAAAUAUGUUAAAGAAAGCUGAUUCCCGCUAAGAUUUUUAAGGGUGUUAGCUGAACAAAGGUCAAGUCUAUUUUUGAAAAGCUAGAAACAAAUGUAGAGCUACUUUGAAUUUUUAGACGCAUUGCACAAAAACUCACAUAAACCGAUAAAUUAAGCUAGGGAAGUAGUUGCUUAAACUUUUCAGAGGUGGCGUAGAACAAAUAUUUUGUUGCUACAGCCGGUGAAAAUAUAAACGCUCAUAUGAAUGAUAUAAUGCCUUGGAAAUUUUGACUUUGUGAAUUAAAGCUUAGAACACAUAUAUGUAUGUAGAUAUGCGAUUUUUUCACAUCAUGUUCAUUCAUACAAAAUUUAUAUUAAAAAGGUGCUGUUUUAUAUUGAGUUACACGACGAUAGCAAUAUUUAAAAAAAAUCCGCCAAUACAUAUUAAAUUUUUAUUAUACACUUGUAUUAUUGUAUUUCGGAAUUCGAUAGCAAAAUUAUCCUAAAUCGCGUUUAUGAUAAAUUUGCACAUUUUUUCUUAUGCCCGCCACGGAUUUUCCCGCUUUAAAAAGUAAUGUAUAAUUUUUUUUUUGCUUCUUCGCAAUUGUGUAGUAUUGGCAAGGUUUAUAAUUUUAUAUUUUACUUGGUUUCCUCUUAAAAAUUAUGUAUUAGAUACUCCAGUAUAUAUGUUUUUUUAACUUAUGGUUUAGUACAUACGAAUUUAGUAUUUGGUUUAAUGUUUUAUGUUUUUUCUUAGUUUUCAAGAAUUUAUGCGUUUGUAUUAGGGCUGUGCGAUUAUUCGAUGACUCGAGCAAGUUGGUUAAUCAAUUACUACAACUGAAAUCUCAGUGUUUUAAAACACAAUUGGUAUAUGUAUUCAUCCACAGCAUUAUUCUGUUGUCUUAAAAACUAAAAUAAAACAAUCUUUUUACAGUA
rnacentral:misc_RNA from 1 species